AUGUAAAAACCUAGAGGAGCACUAUGGGGCGUCCAGCUGCGUGGGAACAACCUGGAGAGACUGUGACAGCCCAGGUCAGCACGACACCUGCAGCUGCCACUUGCCUUUUCCUAUAAAG
rnacentral:snoRNA from 1 species